rnacentral:rRNA from 1 species
GAUGAACGCUGGCGGCGCGCCUAAUACAUGCAAGUCGAGCGAACAGAUGAGGAGCUUGCUCCUCUGACGUUAGCGGCGGACGGGUGAGUAACACGUGGAUAACCUACCUAUAAGACUGGGAUAACUUCGGGAAACCGGAGCUAAUACCGGAUAAUAUAUUGAACCGCAUGGUUCAAUAGUGAAAGACGGUUUUGCUGUCACUUAUAGAUGGAUCCGCGCCGCAUUAGCUAGUUGGUAAGGUAACGGCUUACCAAGGCAACGAUGCGUAGCCGACCUGAGAGGGUGAUCGGCCACACUGGAACUGAGACACGGUCCAGACUCCUACGGGAGGCAGCAAUAGGGAAUCUUCCGCAAUGGGCGAAAGCCUGACGGAGCAACGCCGCGUGAGUGAUGAAGGUCUUCGGAUCGUAAAACUCUGUUAUUAGGGAAGAACAAAUGUGUAAGUAACUAUGCACGUCUUGACGGUACCUAAUCAGAAAGCCACGGCUAACUACGUG